rnacentral:rRNA from 1 species
CCUACGGGAGGCAGCAGUGGGGAAUAUUGCACAAUGGGCGCAAGCCUGAUGCAGCCAUGCCGCGUGUGUGAAGAAGGCCUUCGGGUUGUAAAGUACUUUCAGUCGUGAGGAAGGUAUUGUAGUUAAUAGCUGCAUUAUUUGACGUUAGCGACAGAAGAAGCACCGGCUAACUCCGUGCCAGCAGCCGCGGUAAU